rnacentral:rRNA from 1 species
UACGGGGGGAGCAAGCGUUGUUCGGAUUUACUGGGCGUAAAGGGCGCGUAGGCGGUCAGCACAAGUCAGUUGUGAAAUCUCCGGGCUUAACUCGGAAAGGUCAACUGAUACUGUGCGACUAGAGUGCAGAAGGGGCAACUGGAAUUCUCGGUGUAGCGGUGAAAUGCGUAGAUAUCAGGAGGAACACCGGUGGCGAAGGCGGCUACCUGGACAGAGUCUGACGCUGAGGCACGAAAGCUAGGGGAGCAAACAGG